rnacentral:rRNA from 1 species
CUACGGGCGGCAGCAGUGGGGAAUAUUGGACAAUGGGCGAAAGCCUGAUCCAGCCAUGCCGCGUGUGUGAAGAAGGCCUUCGGGUUGUAAAGCACUUUCAGUGGGGAAGAAAGCCUUGGGGCUAAUACCCUCGAGGAAGGACAUCACCCACAGAAGAAGCACCGGCUAACUCCGUGCCAGCAGCCGCGGUAAUACGGAGGGUGCGAGCGUUAAUCGGAAUUACUGGGCGUAAAGCGCGCGUAGGCGGUCUGAUAAGCCGGUUGUGAAAGCCCCGGGCUCAACCUGGGAACGGCAUCCGGAACUGUCAGGCUAGAGUGCAGGAGAGGAAGGUAGAAUUCCCGGUGUAGCGGUGAAAUGCGUAGAGAUCGGGAGGAAUACCAGUGGCGAAGGCGGCCUUCUGGACUGACACUGACGCUGAGGUGCGAAAGCGUGGGUAGCAAACAGGAUUAGAUACCCUUGUAGUC